rnacentral:rRNA from 1 species
UACGGAGGAUGCGAGCGUUAUCCGGAUUUAUUGGGUUUAAAGGGUGCGUAGGCGGACUGUCAAGUCAGCGGUAAAAUACGGGGGCUCAACCUCAUCCAGCCGUUGAAACUGGGGAUCUAGAGUGUGCGAGAGGUAUGCGGAAUGCGUGGUGUAGCGGUGAAAUGCAUAGAUAUCACGCAGAACCCCGAUUGCGAAGGCAGCAUACCGGUGCACAACUGACGCUCAGGCACGAAAGCGUGGGUAUCGAACAGG